UAAAAAAGUGAAGACAGAGAGACUGCAGGGGAGCGAUGGAAGGAAAGGAGGAACCAAGCUGGCGAGUUAAUGAGCUGAGCGAGGGCGAGUAAGUAGGGAAACUUCGUAUGCUGAGAUCACGAAGAUCUUUGAUCACUUUUCUGACCCAACACUGCGGCACUCAGAAAAAGGCAUCAACGGUUCCCAUAUGCCUAGAAAGAAUUUCAUUUCCUUUAAUUUACUGUUCCAUUCCUUUCUAUUGAGUCGAGACCCCUCUCUUCUCUUUCUUCUCCUUCUCCUUCUCCUUCUCCUUCUCCCUCUCACAGUCAUUCUUUUCUCAAAUAUGAUGAGGGAGAAGCUCAGGAUUUCUCUGCAAAUCCUUCUGAGUUAUCGAAGUUUUUAGGUCUCUUCUGGGUUUGCUUGUUCAGUUGGGCAUUAGCCGUGUUACGGGUCAUUUUUUUUUUCCCCUUCUCUCUCUCUUUUCAGUGCAGUGUUGUUGGUGGGUACUACAUACUCUUCCACGGAGAGAGACUCAUCAAAGACCUACCUUUCCUUUCCUUUCCUUUCUCCUUUCUUUAUAGAGAGAUCGAGAUGGGUUGAGGAGAACUCAAAUAGAAAGAUAAGUAGAGAGAGAGAGAGAGAGAGAGAGAGAGGGA